rnacentral:rRNA from 1 species
UACGGGAGGGGCAAGCGUUGUUCGGAAUUACUGGGCGUAAAGGGCUCGUAGGUGGCCAACUAAGUCAGACGUGAAAUCCCCAGGCUCAACUUGGGAACUGCGUCUGAUACUGGAUGGCUUGAAUUCGGGAGAGGGAUGCAGAAUUCCAGGUGUAGCGGUGAAAUGCGUAGAUAUCUGGAGGAAUACCGGUGGCGAAGGCGGCAUCCUGGACCGAGAUUGACACUGAUGAGCGAAAGCUAGGGGAGCAAACAGG